AUGAGAUCACCGUUCAUAAAACUUUGUAGUUGUAUUCACGUAGUCUGCUUCGCUACCAUGACUACGAGUACGAACUGUCGUCUGCCAAUUACUGGAUUGAAUUUUGUAACUCGAAGUGCACGAAACUGUUAUAGGAUGGCGGAAGGCUUAUCUUGGGCACAAAAAUUGUCAAGAUUCACCAAGAAGAACAUCGUUAUGAUCGUGAUGGUGCCUACAAUGGUAUCGAUACAUUGGGGGUGGACGAAGCUUCAAGAAAUUGAGCGAUUCGUCCC